ACUCCUACGGGAGGCAGCAGUGGGAAUAUUGCACAAUGGGCAGCAAGCUGAUGCAGCCAUGCCGCGUGAUGUAGAAGAAGGCCUUCGGUUGAUGAAGCACUUUCAGUCGUGAGGAAGGUAGUGUAGUUAAUAGCUGCAUUAUUUGACGUUAGCGACAGAAGAAGCACCGGCUAACUCCGUGCCAGCAGCCGCGGUAAUACGGAGGGUGCGAGCGUUAAUCGGAAUUACUGGGCGUAAAGCGCAUGCAGGUGGUUUGUUAAGUCAGAUGUGAAAGCCCGGGGCUCAACCUCGGAAUUGCAUUUGAAACUGGCAGACUAGAGUACUGUAGAGGGGGGUGAGAA
rnacentral:rRNA from 1 species